rnacentral:rRNA from 1 species
GAUGAACGCUAGCGGUGCGCCUAACACAUGCAAGUCGAGCGGUAGUUUUAUUUUUGAAGCCUUCGGGUUGAUUAAAUAAAAUGAGAGCGGCGGACGGGUGAGUAAUGCCUUAGAACCUGCCCCUAAGUCAGGGAUAGCCAUUGGAAACGAUGAUUAAUACCGGAUGUGCUGGAGACAGUAAAGCCUUCGGGUGCUUAGGGAGGGGCUUUGGUCCUAUCAGCUAGUUGGUGAGGUAAAAGCUCACCAAGGCAAUGACGGGUAGUUGAUCUGAGAGGAUGAUCAGCCACAAUGGAACUGAGACACGGUCCAUACUCCUACGGGAGGCAGCAGUGAGGAAUCUUCCACAAUGGACGAAAGUCUGAUGGAGCGACACCGCGUGAAGGAUGAAGGUUGAGAGAUUGUAAACUUCUUUUCUGGGGGAGCAUAAUGAGAGUACCUCAGGAAUAAGGGGCGGCUAACUACG